AGUGAACGCUGGCGGUAGGCCUAACACAUGCAAGUCGAACGGCAGCACAGUAAGAGCUUGCUCUUACGGGUGGCGAGUGGCGGACGGGUGAGGAAUACAUCGGAAUCUACUUUUUCGUGGGGGAUAACGUAGGGAAACUUACGCUAAUACCGCAUACGACCUACGGAUGAAAGCAGGGGAUCUUCGGACCUUGCGCGAGUGAAUGAGCCGAUGUCGGAUUAGCUAGUUGGCGGGGUAAAGGCCCACCAAGGCGACGAUCCGUAGCUGGUCUGAGAGGAUGAUCAGCCACACUGGAACUGAGACACGGUACAGACACCUACGGGAGGCAGCAGUGGGGAAUCUUGGACAAUGGGCGCAAGCCUGAUCCAGCCAUACCGCGUGGGUGAAGAAGGCCUUCGGGUUGUAAUGCCAUUUUGUUGGGAAAGAAAAGCAGCAGGUUAACACCCCGCUGUUCUGACGGUACCCAAAGAAUAAGCACCGGCUAACUUCGUG
rnacentral:rRNA from 1 species